rnacentral:lncRNA from 1 species
AUGUUCUUUGGGAGGCAGCCUGCUGUAGUGCAAAGACUGAGAGGCUCAGGGUCAGAAUGGGGUCUAGAUUCAAAUUCUGCCUCUAAUAUUUUAAUAAGUUGUACAACCACAGGCAAAACAUUGAACCACUCAAUCUCAGUUUCUUCACCACAGGACCCAUUGAGAUUUAGGUCUGGAAGUUGCCUUGAAGGUCUUCUACUCCAACCUCCUCCUAUUUUCCAUGAGGAAACAGGCCCAAGGAAAGGGACUUGUCCAAGGUCACUAAGGGAGAACUCUAGGUGGAGAAACUCCCUCCACUAAUCCAGCCUGGCAUCUUCUCUGCCACUAAUAGUGUGCCCACAUCACUGAGAAGUGAAGUAACUCAGCUACAGUCCCACAGCCGGUCUGUGCAAGAAGCAAAACUAGAACUCGGUUCUUCUCAUCCGACCUCGAGGCUGGCUCCCUGCCCAUGACACCAUGCUGAAUCCUAGUGAAGCGUCUGCUGCCUCCCGGACUUUGUUUGCACAAGGCAGGUCCUACAUCUUCCAUGACUCAGCCCCUCCAGCGCUCCUCCAGGGAACCUGGCCUCCCCAACCUCUCCAGUCCAGAAGUGGGGGAGUACAAUGGUGGUGCAAGACAAUGGGGUGAGUCAGCACCCCUGGGAUGGUCUCCCAAACCUUGGCACCCACAAGCCACCAUGCUGGUUCAUCAGGAACUCCCCCCGCCCAUCAUGGAGCCUGUCUCCCACAGCCCCCCACACUCCCGGGCCUCCCUCGGGUGGCUCAUCACCACUCUCAUUUCCAUCGUGACCAGCCCAUUUUACAGAUGAGGAAGCUAAGACCUGGGGAGGGAAGUGCUUUGCAUCUCCUCUGAUCUUCCCCAUGACCCUGAGAAGGCAGGCACCUGACAGAAGCGCAAACUGAGAGUCAUCAAGGUGAAGUGACUGGCGGCGGAGCAUGGAUUGGAAUUCCGAGUUUCCCCAGGGUAGACUGAGGGGUCUGGACUGCGCCAUUUAACUCUAGAGAGGCCUUCCUGCCUUCAAUCGUCCUGCGCUGCCUGGACCCCAGCCUCUGUCCCUCCCACAAAAGGGGGUGCGCCUCCAUUUUCUUGGGGUGAAGAGGCCCCCUUGUGGAACAGUCUCUGCUCCCGAUGGAGGAGGAAGGGAGGACAAAGGAAGGAAAACACCAGGGAAGGCGGUUUAUAAAAGAGCAGGCGGCUGGCUCUGGCUCGGGAAGCCCCAUCCCGCUGGCCUGCGCGCCCGCCCGCCCGCCUGCCCUUGUGUGUUACGCUGUAAUUGUCAUAACUGGAGGUGAAAUACACC